rnacentral:lncRNA from 1 species
AUGAGAAGUGUGAGUACUGCAAACCCCUGUUUGGACAUGAGAAAUCUAAGACUCAGAAUGUUAGAUGGGCGGAAGCCAGGCCUCCUGACUCCCACACCAUCUGAGUGGGAGCCAGCUUGCUUCCUCUGCAGAACCACCACUGUUGUCUCUGGGAAUGAAUCUGGAGUUGUGCAGUGCACAGCCUGGGAACUCUUUUACAGCCCUGCCUUGGUGUCAGGCUCCAGGUCCUACUUGAGGCAGAUGCUCCAAAAAUGUGGGCGAAUUCAGCAGAACCGCAAUUCAGAGAGCAACGUUCCUCUGAAUCCCGCAUGCCUCACUUUGCUGUACUGUCCGCUGUGCCCGCCGCGGCUCUGUGGAAGGAAGGAAGGCCCUGGGGGCAGGGCCUCCCUUUGCUCUGCCCAGGCCCAGGAAGAGCCCGCGACGCUCAUCAAGUGCGUGUGGAAGGUGCCUCUGCGUUCCAAGAUGCCCAUUGAUGUGGCGAGCUCUGUAGCAUACAGACUCUGUGCCUCUUGCAGGGGAGCCUGGGAAAGCUAGGAAGAGGACACUCAUCCCGAGAUCCAUCCGGAGGCAAUGCGACCGGAAUUCAGACGUGCCACAAGCCCAGUGUGUGCUUAUUGAGCUUGGGACCUCUUGGGGAACCGUAUCCUGUGCUGCCCGGAGCUUAGAAAAGGCACAGUUUAGCCUUAAUGAAACGAUGAUUCAUCUAAAAGCAUGGACAGAAAACCUCUGCCUUAACCAGGACCCAGGAGGAGCAGGUUGACCUCACCAAGUCAGACCCUGUUGGAAGAGGCAGGCUCAUGGCCAGCUGGGAGAGUCUCAGCACAAGAAGUGGGACUUGGUCAAGGCAGGGCAGGGCAGGAGGAGUCACGGGCUCUCUAGAAUUGUUUUAUCAUUUUGGGGGCCUUUUCUAUUAUAUGCAUGAAAAAAAAAUUGGAGUAUACUUUCUUUACAAUGUUGUGUUAGUUUCUGCUGUACAACGCAGUGAAUCGGCUCUAUGCACAUAUAUAUCCCCUCCCUGCUGGGUCUCCCUCCCACC